rnacentral:tRNA from 1 species
AACAAAAUAGUUUAGUUAAAAAUAUUGGGUUUGCGUCUCGAAGAUGGAUUUAAUUCUUUUGUUA